rnacentral:rRNA from 1 species
GUCGAACGGAAACGAUACUAGCUUGCUAGUAGGCGUCGAGUGGCGGACGGGUGAGUAACGCGUAGGAAUCUGCCUGAUAGUGGGGGAUAGCCCGAAGAAAUUCGGAUUAAUACCGCAUAAUCUAUUCGUAGUAAAGUGGGGGACUUUCGAGCCUCACGCUAUCAGAUGAGCCUGCGUAAGAUUAGCUUGUUGGUAGGGUAAAAGCCUACCAAGGCGACGAUCUUUAGCUGGUCUGAGAGGAUGAUCAGCCACAUCGGGACUGAGACACGGCCCGAACUCCUACGGGAGGCAGCAGUGGGGAAUAUUGGACAAUGGGGGCAACCCUGAUCCAGCAAUACCGCGUGUGUGAAGAAGGCCUGAGGGUUGUAAAGCACUUUCAAUUGUGAAGAAAAGUUAGCGGUUAAUAACCGUUAGCCUUGACGUUAACUUUAGAAGAAGCACCGGCUAACUCCGUGCCAGCAGCCGCGGUAAUACGGAGGGUGCAAGCGUUAAUCGGAAUUACUGGGCGUAAAGCGUGCGUAGGCGGUUUAUUAAGUCAGAUGUGAAAGCCCCGGGCUUAACCUGGGAACUGCAUUUGAAACUGGUCAACUAGAGUAUGGUAGAGGAAAGUGGAAUUUCUGGUGUAGCGGUGAAAUGCGUAGAUAUCAGAAGGAACAUCAAUGGCGAAGGCAGCUUUCUGGACCAAUACUGACGCUGAGGUACGAAAGCGUGGGUAGCAAACAGGAUUAGAUACCCUGGUAGUCCACGCCGUAAACGAUGAUAACUAGCCGUUGGGGGGAUUUACCCUUUAGUGGCGAAGCUAACGCGUUAAGUUAUCCGCCUGGGGAGUACGGCCGCAAGGUUAAAACUCAAAGGAAUUGACGGGGACCCGCACAAGCGGUGGAGCAUGUGGUUUAAUUCGAUGC